rnacentral:rRNA from 1 species
GACGAACGCUGGCGGCGUGCUUAACACAUGCAAGUCGAACGAUGAAGCCGGAGCUUGCUCCGGUGAAUUAGUGGCGAACGGGUGAGUAACACGUGAGUAACCUGCCCUUGACUCUGGGAUAACUGCGGGAAACUGUAGCUAAUACCGGAUACGACCCUCGGAGGCAUCUCCUGGGGGUGGAAAGAAUUUCGGUCAAGGAUGGACUCGCGGCCUAUCAGCUAGUUGGUGAGGUAAGGGCUCACCAAGGCGACGACGGGUAGCCGGCCUGAGAGGGUGACCGGCCACACUGGGACUGAGACACGGCCCAGACUCCUACGGGAGGCAGCAGUGGGGAAUAUUGCACAGUGGCGCAAGCCUGAUGCAGCAACGCCGCGUGAGGGAUGACGGCCUUCGGGUUGUAAACCUCUUUUAGCAGGGAAGAAGCGAAAGUGACGGUACCUGCAGAAAAAGCACCGGCUAACUACGUGCCAGCCGCCGCCGUAA